rnacentral:rRNA from 1 species
GGGUCAGUAGGUUGGUCGUGCCACCGGUACGUACUGGUCUCACUGAUUCCUCCUUCCUGAAGAACCGUAAUGCCAUUAAUUUGGUGUUGCGGGGAAACAGGACUGUUACUCUGGAAAAAUUAGAGUGUUUAAAGCAAGCUAACGCUUGAAUACAUUAGCAUGGAAUAAUGAAAUAGGACGAUCGAUCCUAUUUUGUUGGUUUCUAGGAUUGACGUA